AGCUGCGGGGGUCACAGGCAGGUGAGGGGGAGGGGCGGCCCCUGUCCUAGGCCAUCCCCACUGAGUAUUCCCCAAGCUGGCUGGUGACCAGGAAUUUAGGGGCCAGCAGAAAGGGGUGUGUGUUUGUGUGUGUGUCUGUGUGUGUGGUGUGUUUGUGUGUGUGUGUGUCUGUCUGUCUGUCUGUGUGUGUCUGUGUCGCAGGUGGGGGGAGGGGACACCGAGGAAGGGGCACCAGGGCAGGAACCAGUCACGCCGCCGACAGGAUGCGGAGCAGGCCGGGAGUCCCUACUCUGCGAUUGGGCAAGUUCCCCUCGUGGGGCCUCAUCUGCAACUGCAGGGAAUCUGUCCCACGAACUCCGAGGCCCCUUUGAAAAGUUACAGCCUUGGAGAACCAGAUUCGGCAGCGACUCGACCCACUGGGGCCCCAGUGCCGCCGGGUGAGCCCGGGGAGGCUGCCAAGGGGUGGCCCGCGCGGCUCCUCUGCCUCCCGGGGUCCCCGGGUCUCACCACACAGCUCCGUAGGCCCCGCUGCCGACGUGCGCCGGCGCCAGCCCGCAUGAAUGACACGGUCCUGUGUGGUCCCAGAGCGAACUUGUGCUCAGUCUGAGUCAUGAGUGCUCUGGCAGAACAGCUCGGAAUGCCCCGUGGAUGUGUCCCACCCUCCCUGACUUCUCUGCAGAACGAGUGGGGCCAGCUUGCUUCGUUGUCAGAGGAGGGAGCUUCCGGGGGACCCCACCAGGCUCUCCGCAGACCCCAAACUGCCCAACCGCCUCUCCCACACGGUCUGCAGAUCAUGUCAAGUGAACAACCCCACAGAAACGUUCAGCACGGGUUGUAGGUAGGGCGUCUGCUUCAGGAACGUAUCACAGCUCGGAUGAGAAUGAGAGAGUCAGCCCAUUGGGUGUGAAAAAAAUUAUCUAAUAAACAUACGUGCCUGACAUGUGCCGGCCAUUAGUGUUUUACAUAUUCCACUCCAGGGCAGAAGACUGUGAGUCAGGCUGGGCAUCCUCACCAGAGAAGUGGCAAACAGGCGUAGAGGGGUUAGGUAAUUAGCUGAAAGGUCACAGGGCUGGAGAAGGGCGGAGCUGGGUGAGGAAGGGAGCGUGGUGGCCCUGGAGCCCAGGCUCCUGCCAGGAAGGCUCAGUGGUGUCUCCAAACCACUUGGAAUGGUUGUAAGGCUGCCGCUUCCUCAGCGCAGCCCGUUUCCUGCCCUGUCCUUUUCAUUGGUCCUGAGACAAAGGAGGGCCGACAGUGGGAGUUUGAGACCCUUUGGGUCUGUGGUUCUGGUUUAAGGAACUGUGUUUCAGGAAGCCAGAUGCUAGGACCGGACACAGGCUACGAGAGGGUGUCCCGAGACACCUUCGGGGUUGAGAGAAGAGAAAGGGGCUCGGUCUCUACAGUAUGAUAAAGCCAGCAAGGAGCCCUGGAGGUGGCUCUGUGGGCAAUGUGCUUGUGUCUGGUGGCUUAAAAAGAAAACGGCCCCCAAAGGGUAUUGGAGGCGUGGCCUUGUUGGAGGACGUAUGUCUCUGUGGGGGUGUGCUUUGGGGGCUCAUACAUGCUCAAGCCACGCCCAGUGUGACAGACUCCUUCUGCUGCGCUGACGGAUAAAGAUGGAGAGCUCUUGGCUCCUUCUCCAGCACCACAUCGGCCCGCACGCUGCCCUGUCCCGUCGUGAUGAUAAUGGGCUGAACCUCUGAACUGGAAGCCACCCCAGCUGAAUGCUUUUUCCUUCAUAAGCGUUGCCGCGCUCAUGGUGUCUCUUCGCAGCAAUAGAACGCAGCCCUAACUAGGACACCAUGUAAGCAUGAGGACCUGAGAGCAAAUCCCAGGCACGGACUGACAUGAAGAAGCCCAGGAUGGAGGCACGGACUGACAUGAAGAAGCCCAGGAUGGAGGCACACACCUAUAAUCCCAGCCCUGGGGACUGGAGGCGCUCUGGGACUUGCUGGCCAGCUAGCCUAGUCAAACUCUGGAGUUCCAGGUUCAGGGAGAGAGAUCCUGUCUCAAAAUAAAGACGUCUUUAGUAGUAAAGGCUCUAGCCGGCAAGACCUGGAUCCUAGGACCCACACAGUGAGAGAAGAGAACACACUCAAAAAUUGCCCUCUGACCUCUA